UCCAAGAAACUCCCAAAUACAAAGAAAAGUAUAUCCCACAAACACUCUUCUUCUUUAACCAUGUCUACUUGCUUCUGCCUACUUAUCACUCAACAGUUUCCUUCCAAAUACAGCAUUAGCAAUGGAGAAAUUUCUUGCCUUCAUAUUUUCUCUUUUGCUAUCAAUCUACAUCCGAGGUGCAGAUGGAUCAAUCGGGGUAAACUAUGGGACGGUAGCUAACAACCUUCCAUCCCCGGAACAUGUUGCACAUUUCCUACUAGAAUCCACCAUUAUCAACCGUGUGAGGCUUUUUGAUGCCAACCCUGAAAUGUUGAAGGCAUUUGCACACACUGGCAUUGCCAUAACCGUUACUGUGCCUAAUGAUCAAAUCCCACAUUUUACAAAGCUAAAUUACGCACAACAAUGGGUGAAAGCCUACAUUGUGCCACAUUUACCAGCAACCAAUAUAGUCCGAAUACUUGUAGGUAAUGAAGUACUAUCGACUGCCAACAAGUUGCUCAUAGUAAAUCUUGUUCUGGCAAUGCAGACGCUCCAUAUGGUCCUCGUUGGAGAGUCGAUGGAUCGGAGGAUACAAAUUUCUACUCCGCAUUCGCUGGGUAUAUUGGCCAACUCGAGCCCCCCCUCAACUGGGAAGUUUAGAGAAGGUUAUGAUUCUCAUGUGCUCAAGCCAUUGCUUAGCUUCCUUAAGGCCACAAAUUCACCUUUUAUGGUUAACCCCUAUCCAUUUUUCGGGUCAUCGGCUGAUAUUCUUGAUUAUGCACUUUUUAGGCCUAAUGCAGGGGUUCUUGAUGAAAACACAAAACUUACCUAUGCAAACAUGCUAGAUGCACAGUUGGAUGCAGUUUUCUCUGCAAUGAAACUCCUCGGUUUUUCUGACGUUGACAUUGUCAUAGCCGAGACCGGAUGGCCUUCGAAAGGGGACACAGGGCAAGCUGGGGUCGAUUCUGAAAGUGCAGCCGAAUACAACAGAAAACUUGUGGAGCAUGUAACAUCCAGGAUUGGGACACCACUCAUGCCUAACAGAACGUUUGAAACGUACAUUUUCGCGCUCUUUAACGAGGAUCUAAAGCAAGGGCCAACGUGUGAAAGAAAUUUCGGAUUAUUCCAGCCUGAUUUGACACCGGUCUACAACAUAGGGAUCUUAAGGCCAACGGUAGCUGCCGCUGCCAAGAAUCAACAUAGUGCAUGUUUAUUGAUACUUUUGUACAUUUGCUACAUAUUUGGUUAUAGCUAAUUUUCCGUCUUACCCAACUCCAGCGGUGAAACCUAAGCCAGAUCCAAAGGGAAAAACAUGGUGUGUUCCCAAAUCAGGGGCAAAUGAAGAGACAUUGCAGAGAAAUAUUGAUUAUGUGUGUGGAUUGGAUAUGGAAUAUUGCAAACCUAUACAAGAAAGUGGUGCAUGCUUUUAUCCUAAUACGGUUCGAGCUCAUGCUGCCUAUGCCAUGAAUGCAUAUUAUCAAGCCUCGAUGAAAAAAGACUUUGAUUGUGACUUCAGACAAACUGGAGCUAUCACCAAAAAAGAUCCAAGCAUGUUGAUAAAUAUAUGCUAUGGUAAAUGCAAAUACUGACUUAAAGAUGGAGCAAAGAAGUCGUGAAGAAUAGAAGUUUUUUAUGCUAGUUUAACACGAGGAAAUUUUGUUGUUUAGAGAGUUGGCAGGGGAUUUCUCAAAUGGGAUUUGCACUCAGCAGUGAAACAGAAACGAAAAUGAAAAUAUAUUUGGCAGAAAUUAAUGUUUUAUGCAUUGUAUUAUUCUUUAACUAGGAAUCAUUUAAUUGAGGAUGCAGCUUGUUCUUUUCUACUUGUAUUUGCUCCCAUGGUAUCCAAAUAUUUUUGUACUCCUGACGGACUUCUUCGAAUAGUGAAAUUUGAU